rnacentral:lncRNA from 1 species
UAAUCAAAUCAUUAAUGUAGUGCAAGUUAACUGGAAAAUGAGCAUUUGAUCUUUCAUGGAGGGAAUGUAUUUUUCAUUUAGAACAAAUUUACUCCUUUAGUAAAAACCACUGUUUAUAAUAUAUUUCUUUGAAAAGUUUUUAUGGUUUUCGAUUAAAAAAUGAAAAAACAAAUCAUUCAAGAAUUUAAAGCUUAAAAUAUCAGUUUAUUCUCAUGGAUCUGAGGUUGCCUGAGGCGACUCUCCUUCAGUUUGCUGUAACCAGGAACCAUUAGGUUAACUGGGGUCUGUUUAACUAAAGAAUGGAUAUUGGGUUGGUAACUAACACUUCCACAAGGGGUUAAGUUAAUGAUUGCAUUUAGCAACAAGGAUGACCUUGGUGACACCCGUACAAACCUGCUUCAGUGAUAUUAGUUGGAUCAGGAGAAAGAGUAACUGGAGGUAAAGAGAAAUGAAAAAGUAGAAAAAGCGUGUGAGAACAAAAUUUUCAUGAAAUUAUACUCUAAAAAAUGAAUAGCUAAAAAUAAUAGAGUCAACUUUUUAAACACUAUACAAUUAUAUAGACGUGCAAUGUUUUAUUUGUAUUUUCUUUAGGUUUACAAAAUUUUGGCUUAAAAUGUCUGUCAAAUUCUUAUAUAUAUAAGAAUGUAUCUAUAUAUAUAUAUAUGCGUGUAUCUAUAUAUAUCAUUCCCAAGUAUGAACAUGAAUAUGAAUAGAAUAUUCACAUGUAGAGACAUUCAUGGCUCGAGUUGCGAGGUUUCAUAUUUCUGAAAUUAUGCAAUUAGAGAAAGAGUCUGAUAAAAUGACAUGAAGUGGAAGAUCAUGAUUGAACUGAAAACCAUUUCACCACAAAUAUUACCUUGGACAACUCCAGUGCCACAGUGGUCAGUGGCCUACCUGUGGCCUUGGAGGAAUGUGGUCUCUCCUGGAAUCACUGUUUAUUUCUCACUUGCGAAAGCCUAGUUGAGUACUUUGCAAAUAUUAUACCUUAGAAACCAACUGAUGGAUUUGGCUCUACUGUUGUUGUUUUUGAAGAUUUGUAUUAAACACAACAAAGUUAAAACCACUGCGGGGAAAGUUUGUAGUGACAGAUUCUUCCUCUGCUAUUUCUCAAAGAAGGUAAGGGUGGUAGAAUAUUUCAGACAUGUGGAGUAGGACUGGGAAGUACGGUGAACUUUUUUUCAACUUUAUGGAAAAAUUGUGUUUAUACAAGUGCUUAUGAUAAGUGAGUAGAUAAGUGCAAUCAUAUCUCUUAUUGUGAGGAAUGCAUGAGGAAUUUUCAGUUGAGGAAACAGAAUUUCCUUUUAAUUUCAUUGAGAAAGCUUUAGAAUUAUUGAAUACUAAAUUUAGAAUUUGCAUUUCAAAGUUAAGCCUUUUCCUAGGUUGAGAGAUAAAAAGGAACAUUGAUUCUCUUCAGUGUUUUGUUUUCUGAAUGAAAUAUUACUUUUUAUUCAGGCUGGUAUUCAAAUCAUGUAUGCCUCAAUUGUUUUAUUGAAAAUACUUAAAGAUAUGAAACAUACUUGAGCCGAGUCAGUAUCUUGCUUUAUAUUAAAACCAGAUAAUUUUAUAUGGUACAUUUUCUCCUUAUUUAACUUUUCUGUGCAUUUUUUUUCCUAGACACAGUUUGCUUUAAACACUAAAGUAUUAAGUCAUGAGAACAUUCAGAAUUAAGCACAUACUAGAAUUUAGUACAAAAAAUAAUAUAGGCAUCAUUCUGGAUGAAAUUCUGUCCCUUUCCAUGUCUAAACGUUCACUUUUGUAUAAACAUUAUCUUUGGCUUCAGUAAAGAUUUAUAACCUCUGGAAUUGUUUAACUUUGUGAAAUGAAUCACAGUCAAUCUAGAGCUUCAGAUAAUUUCUUUAUAAGAGAUAAUUUGCUGUUUACAACUCUCUUCUUGCCUCCCUACUCUACAAAAAUAUUAAACUUAAUCAAAUGUGACAUAUUCCAGUAUAUUUACAAAAAUGUCAAUAUUUUAUAGUAUUUGUCUUUGUAAUAAGAGUUAAGGCAUAGAUUUAUAGACAUAUUAGAUGGAAAUUAAAAGAGAGUAAUAAUGAACUUUGGAGUUUUAAAAAAUAAUGUAACCAAUUGACUCUCUUCAUCUGAAAUAAUACUUCAGUGGGCAUUACUGAAUCCAGUAAUCCUCAUCGAAUUAUUACUUGUGGGCUAAGCUCAUAAACACUUCUAAGGGAAAAACAAUUCCACUCCGAGGUUUUAUCGUAAGACUGGCCUGUACACCAGUUUUGUCCACUGUGAUACUGCUCAAAAGCACCUGUGACUAGACUGUGACAAAAUACUGCAUCCAAGAACUGUAUUCAUGCCAGACUAUGAGAGUGGCCAGUGGAAAAUGCCCUGAAUGGCAACAUAAUCAUUGUCAGAAAUCUGAGCUAAGAGUAUGGAGUAUGCUAGGCUUCUUUGUGUUUCUGUCCAACACUUCUUUUCACACUUCUUCUAAGAAUCUAAUAAUCUUCCCUUUUAGAAAUUUAUUGGAUAGAGUUUGGGGGCAGGGGGAGCUGACAUUCUCCCUGCUUCUACUACGAUGGGUAUGAAACAAAGUUUGAUUCAGAGAUCUGCACAUAAUGUUAUGUUAAUUAGAGACAGAGUACUCCUUGUGGAUAUUAUGUUAAAGCUGUUAGAAUAUACACUCUCUUAUCCAGGACAUAAGAUGAAAUGAUGUAACUCUAGGACUGGUAGUGUCAAUACGGCCAUCACAUGGAACAAUCUGGUCUAAUAUAUAUCUACAUAUCAUUAUCUAUGUCUAUCUGUCUAUCUGUCUAUCUACAGAGAGAGAGAGAGAGAAAGAGAGAAGUAUUAUUUCAGGCCCUGAAUCAACCAUUCCUGAAUGCAAUGGUGAGCCUAUACAUGUACAUCAGUAAUUUUUUUUUACAUUAAUGGUAAUUUGCUUUGCAUUUUUAUUAAUUGCAAUUAAAAGUAUCCCAAUUAAUACAGACAAAAUGUUUGCACAGGCAAAGAAAUCUGAAGCUUAAAGGAAACAGAGAUGGAGAUUAUUCGCCCAUAAGGCAGAGAGAGGAAUCAUAAGGAAUUUAGAGUUAUGAGGAAGCAAAAGCCAUAAGGAAAUAGAUUGGUUUGGGGAAAAGAAUGAAGAACAGAUGUGUGUAAAAAUGCAUUAAAGGCUAGUCACUACUGAAUCACUUAGAGCUGCUUAGAAUCUGGUUCUAGCCUUGGUAAUACCGGCACUGCUGUGGUUUCCAUUCUACCUCAGAUCUGGUUCCAUACCUGAGUGUCAUUCUUCUCUGUAUCCAUUCGUAUCCUUACAGGAAGCCCCAGUUAGUUAUUUAAGUUGAGUAAUUCUGUUUUACUUGUGUCCACAAGGGACUAAUUAAAGUAAAUUAUUUUAAACUUUUUAAUGAAAUAGUGAAAUUUCCACACCUCUCUUUUGCUACCAUAGAUUGAUGCCAGUUAUGAAAAAUAUUUGAGAUUGAAUGGCAGAGCUCCCUGGUGGCCUAGCUGCUAAGGAUUCAGUAUUGUCACUGCUGUGGCUCAGGUUUAGUCCCCUGGCCCUGGCCUGGGAUUUCUGCAUGCCAUGGACAUAAUCCCCCUCCCCCUCCGCAAAAAACAAAAAGAGAGGAAAAUUGUCAUUUUCAUCUGGGAGAUUUUAUGUGAUGACAAUGUAUAAAUUUUUAAUAUAAAAAUUCUGGAUCUUGACAAUUUAAUUCAUAUCAAUAUUUACUAAAUACUCUUUAUGCAAGAUGCUUUCAGACUUUAGAAAUAUGAAUCAAAUUUUUAUCAUUUUAAAGAAAUAUUAUAUAAUCAAUAACUCAAAGUCCAGAGGCUAGGCAGGCACCAGACUCUAUGGUAUACAGUGCAAUAAUAUAACUAAAACAAAAAACAGGAUCUCUGCCAAUAAAGUUCACAAAACUACAUGAAAAAAGCAAGUACUUACGAAGGACAGAUUAACAAUGACCAAAAGAGACAGAGAGCAAAGAAACAAGAAAGUCUGAUGUGUCCAAUAGCCAUUUUAAAAAAUGUAAACUGUUAUUAAAAACCUUCCUAUAAAUUUAUAUCCCCAUAAUGGUAGAGUAGGUGGUAUAUGACUCACCCUCAUUCAGAUAAAAAUUACAAACAUGGAUUAAAUAUUUGAAGAAAUAGUGAACAAAGUAGUUAGAAACUGGAAGGAGCUGACCCAUGAAAGAAGGAAACUAUAGUAGCUCUACUCCUGAGGGCACUCUCAAAGUAGUAUACAGGCUAGAUUUUCACUGAGUUGAGAAGAGGAAGGAGGAAGAUCCAUAGAGGAGGAGAGAGCCCCAGAUCUGUAUAUAAACUCUACACAAGAUCUUUGCUAACCCCUGAAUUGCACAUGGGCUAGGGGGAGUUCAGAGUUCUCAGUGAAAAGCAUAGCCAGAAAGCUGAUAUAAAUGAGUAGUUUCAGCUGAUGCCCACCUGAGGGGAGCCAAAACUUUGAGUUUGGGUCAAAUCAAUGUAAUUUUCUAUUAGAAUAACAAUGAAUAAUCUUUAGACCAAGAGAACAGAAUGCAGUUUCUACAAUGUGUCAUCUACAUUAUCUAUUAUACCAUGAAAAAUUAGUAGGAAAUGAGAAGGGACAAGAAAUUAUGACCCACAUUCAAGAGGAAAAGCAGUCAACAGAAACAAAUUAUAAAAUACCCUGAAUUUGGAAGUGAGACUAUAAGGACUUUAAAUACAUGAUUAUAAAUAUUUGGGGACCUGAAGUAAAAUAUGACAGUGAUGAAUAGGCAGAGAGAGGAUCUCAGAAAAUAAAUGGAAACUAUAGAAAAUAACCCACUGAAAAUUCUACAACUCAGCAAAACAAUGUGUAAUAUUAAGAAUGUGCUCGUAUUUGGUAAAAUCAGUGGUUACUAAGCUUGAGGAUAGAUCAAAAGAAAAUAUCCAAUUUUAAUAGAAAACAGAGAGAAGGUUGAAAAUAAGUCAGUGGAUUCUCAGUUGGAGUCCAUGAAAGAGAGAAGAG